CACGCAGGCGGUCUGUUAAGUUUGGAGUGACAGUUCCUGGCUCAACUGGGAAAGUGCUUCGAAAACUGGCAGACUUGAGGGCUUCAGAGGGACACGGAAUUCCGGGUGGAGUGGUGAAAUGCGUAGAGAUCCGGAGGAACACCAAAGGCGAAGGCAGUGUCCUGGGGAGUACCUGACGCUCAGGUGCGAAAGCCAGGGGAGCGAACG
rnacentral:rRNA from 1 species